rnacentral:rRNA from 1 species
AUACGGAGGGUGCAAGCGUUACUCGGAAUCACUGGGCGUAAAGCGCGCGCAGGCGGUCUUUUAAGUUGGAUGUGAAAGCCUACGGCUCAACCGUAGAACUGCAUCCAAAACUAUUAGACUAGAGUGUGGGAGAGGAAGAUGGAAUUAGUUGUGUAGGGGUAAAAUCCGUAGAGAUAACUAGGAAUACCAAAAGCGAAGGCAAUCUUCUGGAACAGUACUGACGCUGAGGCGCGAAAGCGUGGGGAGCAAACAGGAUUAGAAACCCGGGUAGUCC